UACAGAGGUCUCAACCGUUGUUCGGAUUCAUUGGGCGUAAAGGGUGCGUAGGCGGUCGCGUAAGUCAGGUGUGAAAUCCCGGGGCUCAACCCCGGAACUGCAUUUGAUACUGCGUGGCUCGGGUGCUGAAGAGGAGACUGGAAUUUACGGUGUAGCAGUGAAAUGCGUAGAUAUCGUAAGGAAGACCAGUGGCGAAGGCGAGUCUCUGGACAGUUACCGACGCUGAGGAACGAAGGUCAGGGGAGCAAACGGG
rnacentral:rRNA from 1 species